GGGCUCUGUGGUGCUCAAGCCAUCAGAUGGAGGUGUUACCUGUUGCUGCUUGUUUUGAAAAGAUCUCUUUUUGCACGGUCUGUCCUGCUGUCUCUCGGCGAUUGAAGGCACCAACAGGUGAUGUCACAGGUUGCCAUGCUUCUUUCUGGUUACUGGUCUUGUUACCAUUUUCUGCAGGUGCUGCUCUGUUAGAGUGGGGCUCUGUGGUGCUCAAGCCAUCAGAUGGAGGUGUUACCUGUUGCUGCUUGUUUUCAAAAGAUAUCUCUUUUGCAUGGUCUGUCCUGGUGUCUCUCGGCGAUUGAAGGCACCAACAGGUGCUGCUCUGGUGCUCAAGCUAACAUAUGCAGGUGGCCCUGCUUGUUUCAAAAAGAUCUCUUUUUGCAUGGUGGUUCCUGCUGUCUCUCAGCAAUUGAAGGCACCAACAGGACCAGGUCCGGGACCAUUCCGAAUCCAUGCAUAGCUACAUACAGCGGAUACAUCUGGGAAGCGCUGUUGGAUCAGAGUGGAUCAGUAGUGUGCACUUGCAUCCACUUUUUGCAGGUGCUGCGUCUUCACAUCAGUCUUCCAUCGUGCUGAUGGAUGAGCGGAGAGAGGCACGUUCAGCAAAUGACGAUGCGAAGUUGCGACGUUUCGAAAGGGUACUCCGUUUUUCCAUCAUGGUCCCUGCUACUACCCCUCAGUGAUUGAAGGCGCCGACAGGUGAUGCCACAGGUUGCUGCUGCCGUCCUGCACGGAUCUCUGUUGUCGAAUCCAGUCUUCCAUUGCUGCCUGUUCCCAAGAAACCUCUCCCAUGCCCGACGGACGUUGUUGCAUAUCAGAUCCACUUGUCGCCACUGGUGCAUAAUGCAUGCUGGUGUUGCAGAGCCUGGUGCUGCACUGGUGCAUGCUGUCCGUGGUUGCAUUCUACUGACGGGCUUAUUUUCACCGUUGUCCUAAAAUAGAAGGUGCUGCAAGAAGCCAGGCUGGACGCUGAAUAUUGACGGUAUACGGGGCACAACGCAAACUUCACAAGGAAUCCUCGUAAUGGACGUGAUGUACUUUGUUGCGCUUUCAUUACUUCUUCCCAUAAAGGGAACAGUGUUGACACACGUGAACACCUGUGAACUUUCGAUAGGCGGCUACUCACGGAUGAUUGGUUUGGGGGGUGACUUCAUCCUGGUCUACUGCCAUUGUUUCAUCCUCUUGAUGGUUCUCUUGUUACGUUGACUGUCUGGUUGGUCUUGUUGGUCUCCUUUUGAGCAUUCUGUUAUGGUCGUUCUCUGUUGGUGGCUUUUGCUCAUGGUUGGCUCGUUCGAUCGCUGGGGCUUGGGGUUCCGUUACGAGGUUUGGGGGUUUUUGGGGCGUAGUCCAUCGCGUAGUAUUUACCAUUGAGUAAACAAUGCUGAGCGUUCUAGGAGCGCAUUACUUGCUCGUCAUGGGAGAACAUAACACAAACAACACAAACAGUAUUUGCUUGCAGGGCGUACUUUUGGUUUAUUGUACCCAGACACUGUUAAUCGCUAUACUGUAAUUAGAACGUGCUUUGAGAAAUACACGUCUGCAUCUUUU